rnacentral:sRNA from 1 species
AGUGAUUUCGCUUCAUCCUAGAGGCUAAAUGGGCUCCCCUGGACUCGCCUGGCAGAACUAACCACCUAAAAGAACGUUAUUGCAAGGGGAAAAAUGCAAACAGGGUGAAGACAAGAGGCAUAGAUGAUGGACACUAAAACAAAGACCUGAUGGGGUCUCACUAUGUUGCCCAGGCUGGUUUCAAACUCUGGGACACAGUCAGUCCUCCUGCCUCAGCUUCCCAAAGUGCCGGGAUUGCAGGUAUGCGAUGACAUGACAGCCUUUCCGUGGCCAGGGACACCACUGCCCAACCUGGAGACCACGAGGAUUCAGGGACUGGAGCCAGCAUGGGAAUUCCUGGUUUGAGAUCAGAGUCCCGAGUACCUCGUGGGAACUUGGGCACUCUUCCACAGGAGGUCUAGACCCCCAGAGAAUUCCUUGAGUCUAAGGCACAGCUGCCACCCACCGGGAGGGAAGUGAAAUCUCACCUCAACAAGUGAGUCCGCAGAGCGAGAACCCUGCGACAGCGCGUCUGCCAAUACCUGGAAUGUAGGUGCUCGUUGCAGU